rnacentral:rRNA from 1 species
CAGGCCUAACACAUGCAAGUCGAGCGAAUGGAUUAAGAGCUUGCUCUUAUGAAGUUAGCGGCGGACGGGUGAGUAACACGUGGGUAACCUGCCCAUAAGACUGGGAUAACUCCGGGAAACCGGGGCUAAUACCGGAUAACAUUUUGAACCGCAUGGUUCGAAAUUGAAAGGCGGCUUCGGCUGUCACUUAUGGAUGGACCCGCGUCGCAUUAGCUAGUUGGUGAGGUAACGGCUCACCAAGGCAACGAUGCGUAGCCGACCUGAGAGGGUGAUCGGCCACACUGGGACUGAGACACGCCCCAGACUCCUAC